GACGAACGCUGGCGGCGUGCUUAACACAUGCAAGUCGAACGGAAAGGCCCUGCUUUUGUGGGGUGCUCGAGUGGCGAACGGGUGAGUAACACGUGAGUAACCUGCCCUUGACUUUGGGAUAACUUCAGGAAACUGGGGCUAAUACCGGAUAGGAGCUCCUGCUGCAUGGUGGGGGUUGGAAAGUUUCGGCGGUUGGGGAUGGACUCGCGGCUUAUCAGCUUGUUGGUGGGGUAGUGGCAUACCAAGGCUUUGACGGGUAGCCGGCCUGAGAGGGUGACCGGCCAAAUUGGGACUGAGAUACGGCCCAGACUCCAACGGGAGGCAGCAGUGGAGAAUAUUGCACAAUGGGCUGAAGCCUGAUGCAGCACCGCCGCGUGCGGGAUGACGGCCUUCGGGUUGUAAACCGCUUUCGCCUGUGACGAAGCGUGAGUGACGGUAACGGGUAAAGAAGCACCGGCUAACUACGUG
rnacentral:rRNA from 1 species